CCGCGGUAACACCGGCGGCCCGAGUGGUGAUCGUGAUUAUUGGGUCUAAAGGGUCCGUAGCCGGUUUGGUCAGUCCUCCGGGAAAUCUGAUAGCUCAACUAUUAGGCUUUCGGGGGAUACUGCCAGACUUGGAACCGGGAGAGGUAAGAGGUACUACAGGGGUAGGAGUGAAAUCUUGUAAUCCCUGUGGGACCACCUGUGGCGAAGGCGUCUUACCAGAACGGGUUCGACGGUGAGGGACGAAAGCUGGGGGCACGAACCGGAUUAGAUACCCGGGUAGUCCCAGCCGUAAACGAUGCUCGCUAGGUGUCAGGCAUGGCGCGACCGUGUCUGGUGCCGCAGGGAAGCCGUGAAGCGAGCCACCUGGGAAGUACGGCCGCAAGGCUGAAACUUAAAGGAAUUGGCGGGGGAGCACAACAACGGGUGGAAGCCUGCGGUUUAAUUGGACUCAACGCCGGACAACUCACCGGGGGCGACAGCAAUAUGUAGGCCAAGCUGAAGACUUUGCCUGAAUCGCUGAGGGGAGGUGCAUGG
rnacentral:rRNA from 1 species